UUCUUCAUCUUUAAAGUAUUUAAUUUAUCCCAUUUUUCCAUUAAGUAGAAGCUUGGAUUAGUCUAUUUCUCUUAUUACCUUUCAUCUUCUGUUGCAUCUACUAGUAAACAUUUUACAAAUGUGAGUUAAUUGAUAAAUUGACUCCUCUUACCAGAACUUUUCAAGCAUACUUCAUGUUAAUAUACUAGGAACUUAUAGUUGCAAUUUCAGACAUUCAUAUACAUACAAUAAUUAGAGAACAACCCAACUGACCUAAACGGUGUAUUGUCUCCAUUUGUUUUUGGUUUUCACCUAUUCAUAAUGUUUAUGCAUCUGUUGAACUGAACUUGGUUCCAAGCAUGUUUUCAUCAAAUUAUUUGGUUAAAUGUAACCAAAAUGCAUUGGGGAAGAAAAACAUAAUGGGGACAUCAGACACUUGUAUUCUCACUGAGUCAUGGCUUGUAGGAUUGUUACACUGCCUUUUUCUCCGUUUCUCUCUAUAAAAUACAAGAUGUAGCAAUGGCCAUCCAGCAUAGGGAUUGAGAAGCUGAGAGGCAACCCAAGACAGUGAAGUGCAUGCAUGGGCUCAGAAAUCAGACCACGUGGAUUUCUUUUCCAAAUGUGUCAUUUACUAGCUGUGUAACCAGGGAUAUGUGCCUCAGUUUCCCUCUCUGUGCAGUGGGAUGUUUUAGGUACAAACCGCAGAUGGCUGAUGUGAAGAUUAAAUGAGUUAAUAUAUACAAAGUGUUUUUAGAAAGACCUUGACACAUAGUGAACACUCAAAAAAUUAGCUACAAUUAUGCCCUGUUUCCAGUUGUUUAUUUAGAAGUCAAAUAGGAUCAGUCUGGAAGUGUGGGCUUGUUUUUCUCCCAAGCCUAUUUUUAUGAGCGCUCCGGUGAUCGCCCCCGCUUCCCUCCCUCUUCCCUUCUCCUCCCCUACUCCCUCUUCUCCUCACAUAUUUUGCCGGUGUCUGCUUUGACAUCUUUGACUGACCCAGAGGGGACAAAGGAAACGGCUAAGAUGUCUUCGGAGGCUGAAAGAAGCAGCCCUAUGGACUGCAUGCCGUGAACCAGUGUGAUGGGCUCUCGAGCUGGGUGCCAAUCAAAGUAAAGCAGUGGGACCUGCCAGGAGAGAUGUUGAUUUCAGCUGUCACACAUGUCCCUUUUUGGACUCUCCCCAGGACUCUUGGCCCUAUUCUGCAGUGGUUUGAAAUGGAUUUUAUUAGGCUUUCAUUGGUCCGUCUAUUUUUUUCUCUUGGCAUCUGGUAUCUAAGCUACAUGAGAGCCAGUAUCACAUACUCGGCCAGCGUUCUGCUCAGAUCUCUCCUGCAUGUUCAGUUCCCUCUCUCUACUGCACCAAAUCUAAAGAGUGAGGUCAGAGGUUCAGAGGCCCAACUCAGCUUGUUAAUCAAUGGAACAGUGAGGUGAUUUCGUGUUCUUCCACUUCUUCAAUUUCCUCCUAAACCAGAAUUAUAAAUAGGAUGCUCUGUGACCUCGGGGUCAAAAAUGGAAUAAUCAGACAGAUGAAUUUUGAUUAUAAUGACUAUUAUGAACAUAGCAUUAAUGAUGAAUAUCAAGGAUGAAGCUCAAAACUUAAUAAAGGCAAAAGCUCCAUGGGUCUUUUCUUUUUCCUUGUUUCCGGGUUUUUAUUUUUAUUUAUUUAUUUAUUUUUAUUAUUAUUUUGCUUUUUAGGGCUGUACCUGCAGAUAUGAAAGUUCCCAGGCUAGGGGUCAAAUCAGAGCUACAGCUGCCAGCCUACACCACAGCCACAGCAACUCGGGAUCUGAGCCAUGUCUGUGACCUACACCAUAGCUCACAACAAUGCCAGAUGUUUAACCCACUGAUUGAGGCCAGGGAUUGAACCUGCAUCCUCAUGGAUACUAGUCAGAUUCCUUUCCACUGAGCCACAAUGGGAACUCUGGGUUUUUAAAAGUGAGUAAAAAUUUCACCCCAAAAAGUUACUUUCUAAUUUUUAUAAUGAAUAAUUCCUUGACUGAUGAAGUCCCCUUUAUACUGUUUGCAAACAAAAAAGGAACAAUAAUCCACACUAAUAAGCAAAUCUGAGAAGGCAUUUAAAACCCUUUUAUUUGCCUAGUUAAGAGAAAUUUCUAUAGAGUGUUUUUCAAAAGAAAGCAGUUAUGCAUUUGUAUCUAAAUAUAUCUUAUUGCCUUUGUUCUGCUUCAGCCUGAGUGUUUUUAAAAUUCUUGUGUAGAGUUGAUUUUCUUUUGUUAAGGAUAUUUUUUUUUUCAGAAAUAGUUACUUUUUUUUUAAAUUUAUACAACUGUAUUUCUUUUUGGGAGUAUUAUUCACUCUGAAUUUGAUAGGAGUAAUGUCUUUUCAGCAUAUUUGAUGUUGAGGGUGUAGGUUUCAUUUUAUUCCAGAAAAGCAUUGAGUUCACUCUUUCUCUUAUCUACCUGGGUAGAGAGAAAUGUAAACAGUGACAAACCAAGCUCUUCACAGCUCUUUCCCUGAUUUUUUUCUUUGUGAUGUUACCUUCCACAGAGUUCAAAUACGUCAAGUAGACAUAAACUCAUUUGAGAGUGAGCAAUGUCUAUAAUGAAAAGAACUAGUGAAUAUUUUGUGAAAUACCAAAUUAUCAGAUAAUUUAAAUCUGCUCGGUGGUGCCCCCCCCAAUUUUUCCCUUUCACCCCUGUGACUCCAGAAAUACCCUUAUGUUACUUCACUGUGUCUGAACUUAGAACUUUUUUUAUUUUAGCAAGACUUUAACCCGCUACUACUAACUCUUCACCAUCUAUGCACUAUAGGACAUGGAGUACCACAACUGGUUUCUGCUCACUAGGUAACCAGUAGCAACCCCCCUCCCCCCCCCGCCCAACCCAGUGUGACAACUAAUAGUAGCACCCUCAGUGAAAAACCACUGGUUUGGAGUCCCCAUUGUGGCUCAGCAGGUUAAGAACCCAACUAGUAUCCAUGAGGACACAGGUUCGAUCCCUGGCCUUGCUCAGCAAAUUAAGGAUCUGAUGCUGUCUCAUGCUUCAGUGUAGGCCUCAGAUGUGGCUCAGAACUGGUGUUGCUGUGACUGUGGUGUAGGCCUGUGGCUGCAGUUCCAAUUCGAGCCCCUAUCCCAGGAACAUUCAUAUGCCAUAGGUACAGCCCUAAAAAGAAAAGAGAAAACAACAACAACAACAACAAAGCCCCACUGGUUUGUAGUUAUAUUUGAACUGGGAAUAUAGUGACAGUUUUUCUACAAAGGGAAAAAUUACUAGAGAGUAAUUACUAAUUACUAAUUAGUAAGAAUUAGAAACUCUACCUUUUGAUGUGGAAACACAGGCAUAGAAGUUUACAUGUGCCUUGUGUGUAAUGAAAGAGGAAAUCAGAAAGUCAAAGUUCCUGCAGUCUGCCUCAGUCUGCCUCAGUGAUUCUGAUCAGAUAUCAAGAAAGUGAAGACACAAAACACCUCAUCAGUAGCCUCACCAUGUCUAGUCCAGUUUGCUUGCUAGCCAGCAAUACCUUAACAAAUAUUUCUGAGGAGAGUUCUAAUUUUCAUGUUUCUAACAUAAGACAAUUACUAUAAAAGGAAAUUUUACAUAUGGUUAUAGUUGAAAUUAGUCAUUAUUCAAGACCAUUAAAAAUGAAAAUGUAGAAUUUUAGUUUCUUUCUCCUACUGUCUGUCUUUUUGUUUGUUAUAUUUUUCUAUUACAUACCUUACAUAUAUGUCCAUUUUAGGGAAAGUGAAAAAUAGGUUUAAGCCAAAGGGGGGAAAAAUCAUCCCAAAUCCCAUUACCUAGAUAUAACUACUAGCACUUUGAUGUAUAUUAUCCAAAGAUAUGAUUAUAUAGCAACAGUUUCUUUUUUCAAAACAGCUUUUCCCCCCUUUGAAUAACACUUUAAUAUUUACUUUAUAUCUAAUGUCGCGGUAAUGCUAUCUUGGUCUUUAUAGAAUUUUCUUCUGUAGUCUCAGAUGUCUUCUGAUUUAUGGUUAUUGUUACAAAAUCCCAGUGAUGUAGAAGGAACAAGUAUUAUUAUCUCUUAUUUAUGGAGUAUUAAAAGGUAAAGAGGAUUUAAGUGGAUUACUUAAUGCUACAGAGUUUAUCAGGGGAAAAGGUAUAAAUAAGAUCCCAGGGUUUCUGCCUCCUAAUUCAAUGUGCUUUCCAUUAGUCUGAUUUUAUAUCUUAAAUAUAGAUUUAUAUUAAAACUUUCUUUACCAAAACUUUAGGUGCUCUAGAGAUAACUUUUAACUCCAAUAAUGCUUAAAACCCUUAUGGGAAGUUGUGAUCCUGAAGGAAGACAACAGAGGAAAAGUGUAGGCGAAAUGAAAAGAGAGAAAUCAGAAUUAGUGCUUGUAAAUGUUGCUUUUCCCUCCCUCACGUUGGAGGGCUGUUUAAAUUUGCUGAGCACUACGGUCACUAAAGAAUAAAUUUGUGUAUCACCAUUCUCUGAGCUAGAGCAAAGGGGUAUAUAACUUCAAGGCCUUGUGUUAUUAUGUUAACUAUUUUGAUCAGACAAAUAAAUAGGCCAUAAUGGUAUGUUAGCAACCAAAGUGUGCCUUGCAGGUCUCAGUCUACUCUUAGCAUUUUUAAAUUUGGCUUCCACGUAUUUUCCAAUUUAGAGUUCCACCAAGAAGGUGGAGUGGAAAGGUUGAUCUGGUAAGUGGAAAUUUUCCUUUCACCUGAAGAUACUCUUCAAGAGGGACCUUGGUGGUGGCUCUGUUCCUUUCUCUUCACACAAUGCUCCCUGACCUUGUUUCUGUGAAAGACAUUUUCUCUCCUUAGUGUCACUGUCCACCUGCUAUCCGAAUCAUGACUUCCAUACAGGUGUGGCUCUCAUAGGACAGGGGCUCAUGGCACAGACUGCGAGGCAGCAGGCUUCUGAUAGUGGUUGUGAGAGCCAUCACUCAGGUCUAGGAAAAUGGCCUUGCAGUGGCUACUCUUGGUGCCCUAACUCUUACCCAACAUUCUCUUCCUGGUCCGCGAUUUCUCUAAGUAUAAACGAUCUGUCCCUGCAGGAGACCAGAAGGUGAUUUUCUUUUCACAACCACGAAUAGUGUUUUAAACCUAAAAAUACAUUUAUGAACUGGUUUUUUUCCUUCAGCUAUAAUAACCCCCUUUCUUUAGAAUGGAAAGGCAUGGUCACUUCUGUCAAAUAAUGUUCAAGUUAGAGACACUCAGACAUUUUCUGUUCUGAAGCUCUUUUAAGUUUUCUGUUAUAAGAAAAACACUUUUUCCCCAAGGAACUAAAUUCCAAAAGUUCAGGAGCCAAGUAGCACCAUGAUUUAUUUUCCAUUUAAUUCCUCUACUGACCUAUAAAACAUGUGUAAAAAUGAGACAAAUAAAUCCCAGGUUAGAAACACAAAUUUGAGAGGGUAUUGUGCCAUGUAAAUAAUAUAUCAUAUGCAUGUAUGUGAUGGUAGAUGGAUGCAAAAUUCUUCAAUGUACUUUGGGAAAAUAGGAGCAUAAAAUUAUUCAGAUUUAAACACAGAAUCAUGUUAUUAAGAUGGUUGCCAGGAGAGGGCAGCAUUGCCCACAUAAAUAGCAGAAUGAUGCCUGCUCUGUCCUCAAUUUGGUUUCAAAACACAAGGACUAAUAAAGAAGCAAUGUUAUUUACAUUUGUAAAUUCUCAUUUUUUUUUUUUUGAUAAAAUAGCUUUAUCUCUUGGUCUAGGCAUCCAUUAGGAUGAGGCUGUUAUCACCCAGCCAUGGCCUGUGUCCUUUUUCUGAUGUUUCUUUCUCUUUUCUUUUCCAGCCUGUCUCCUUCACGUUCUAUUCUCAGCUUCCGUAGUUAGAUGCUUUAUUUUUUAAAAAGUCACCCGACUCUUUUAUGAUCCCGGUCACAUUAGUUAACCCCAGGAAACCUCCUUUUCUCUAUCUAUAAACCUCCCAGGCAGUUUAGUAGAUAAAAUGUGGCCGCAGCUGUGGGCAGGUGUUGGUUCUGCCACUUAGAGACUUGCUUUUCCCCAUCUGUGAACAGAAGGUAAUAACAGCAUGGAUGUAUAAAAUAGAAAGCGCUCAAUAAACAUUGGAGGAAACGCAGUGAAUUUUUGGGUUUUAAUCGAAUGGAUUGCUAACAUUUAAAAAUCUGGAGAGACCACGUGAAAUUUCUCCGGUUUCAUUCACGCACGUGACUGGCCUGGCUUGUGCAGGCAUUCGGGUCGAUGUCCCUCCCCGUGUCCUACCGUCUCCCAUUGUCUAUUCAUUAUCUUCGUAUGACAGUGAAAACUGCACCAGGGCCAGCAAGAACAGCCGAAGGAAGGGGAACUUUGUGUUUUUCCCCCAGGUUGCAGAAGAUGAUUGCGCGUCACCCUAACCGCUCUGCCGUCUUUUAUCUGAGCAAUCCCAAGCUCUUAGCGCUGCAGUUUAAUCUAAUUUGUUUCUUUUGUCAGAUUUCAUUUUGAGGUUGAAGCCUUUGAGAGACUAGGAAAGGGCAUUUCCUAUGGGGAAUUUGGCUUCAUUCAUUUCUAGGUGGCAGGUUGGGGUGGGGGGUCAGGAUUGUCAAACAGGGGAGGACAUCUGGGGCCUGAUGGGAGAACAAAAAAUCCCUCGAGACAGACCGAGGACAGUGACGCUGGGACAUCCUUUCUCCAUUUUUCCUCUACCCCUAUGUGUUAGGGUUUUCUUAUUUUUAGUUUUUACCU
rnacentral:lncRNA from 1 species